rnacentral:rRNA from 1 species
GACGAACGCUGGCGGCGUGCCUAAUACAUCCAAGUCGAGCGAAGUUUUUCUGGUGCUUGCACCGGAAAAACUUAGCGGCGACCGGGUGAGUAACACGUAAAGAACCUGCCUCAUAGACUGGGACAACUAUUGGAAACGAUAGCUAAUACCGGAUAACAGCAUUAACUGCAUGGUUGAUGUUUAAAAGUUGGUUUUGCUAACACUAUGAGAUGGCUUUGCGGUGCAUUAGCUAGUUGGUGGGGUAAAGGCCUACCAAGGCGACGAUGCAUAGCCGACCUGAGAGGGUGAUCGGCCACACUGGGACUGAGACACGGCCCAGACUCCUACGGGAGGCAGCAGUAGGGAAUCUUCCGCAAUGGGCGAAAGCCUGACGGAGCAACGCCGCGUGAGUGAAGAAGGAUUUCGGUUCGUAAAGCUCUGUUGUUAGGGAAGAAUGAUUGUGUAGUAACGAUACACAGUAGAGACGGUACCUAACCAGAAAGCCACGGCUAACUACGUG